GAAAUGCGAUAAGUAAUGUGAAUUGCAGAAUUCAGUGAAUCAUCGAAUCUUUGAACGCAUCUUGCGCUCCUUGGUAUUCCGAGGAGCAUGCCUGUUUGAGUGUCAUGGAAUUCUCAACUCUAUUUGCUUUUGUGAAUAGAGCUUGGAUUUGGAGGUUUAUUGCUGGUACUUGUGAUCGGCUCCUCUUGAAUGCAUUAGCUCGAACCUUUGUGGAUCAGCUAUCGGUGUGAUAAUUGUCUACGCCGUUGCAGUGAAGCAUAUCAAUGGGCUCGGCUUCCAAUCGUCCUUUACUGGACAAUGACUUUGACCUUUGACCUCAAAUCAGGUAGGAUUACCCGCUGAACUUAAGC
rnacentral:misc_RNA from 1 species